rnacentral:rRNA from 1 species
AAUCAACGCUGGCGGCGCGCUUAACACAUGCAAGUCGAACGAGAAAGUGGAGCAAUCCAUGAGUAAAGUGGCGUACGGGUGAGUAACACGUGGAUCAUCUACCUCUUAGUGGGGAAUAACUCUGGGAAACCGGAGCUAAUACCGCAUAAGCCUGGAAAGGGAAAGUGUCGCUCUUCAAAAAUGAGACGCUGAGAGAGGAGCCCGCGGCCGAUUAGCUAGUUGGCAGGGAAAAGCCUACCAAGGCAUUGAUCGGUAGCCGGCCUGAGAGGGCACACGGCCACACUGGCACUGAAACACGGGCCAGACUCCUACGGGAGGCAGCAGUGGGGAAUCUUGCACAAUGGGGGCAACCCUGAUGCAGCGACGCCGCGUGAGCGAUGAAGCCCUUCGGGGUGGUAAAG